CCUACCUCAUGAUCCACCCACCUCAGCUUCCCAAAGUGCUGGGAUUACAGGCAUGAGCCACUGCUCCCAGCCUGGCUGAGAAGCAAUUCUAAGCCACCACACAGAGUUGCAAAACCAUAAAACAAUUAGCAAUAACUCUGCCAUCAAACAGUUAAUUACCAGGGAGUGUAAAUAUGUGCUCAAGGCUCCAACUUACAGACUAAUAGGAGUUUUGAAGCUUGCCGUUUUUUGAAGGCUUAUACAAAAUAGUUUCCUGCAAACUCAAGUGGCUGGGAAGCCCAGCUGAAGGUUACUUCUACCCCAAGGCCAUGUCAGCAGAAAGUGGCCAACAGGACUUGGGCCUGAAAAAGCUCAGACUGAAUUUUAGGAGUGACAUCUGAAACUGCUGGUUUCUCACAAGGAAUAAAAGCUGUCUGGGAAGCUGGAGAGGCAGUGUGCUGUCUGGAGCAGGGACUUGCAAAUGGGAACAGUGAAGAGAGACAGCAUCUCCUUCCUCUGAAGAUUCUGUUCAGAAUGGAUAAAGGUUCAGCAUCCUCCCUGGAUGGGGCAGCUUAGCAGAUACAGGGUCUCGCCAUGAGCCACAGCACCUGGCCACUUCUCAUUUUUAAUACUGUAGACCCAGAGGAAAGCACUGGGAGGAAUGAGAAAGUAGCGACUAGACAAAAAUGAAAACUCUUUAAGAAGCAUUGCUGAAGUUACAGGGGAAAAAGAUUAAGACAACUGAGGUUAAGGGCCUGACUCCAGAUCACACAGCAAGGGAGAUGGCAAAAUCAAGAUUUCAACCCAGGAAACCUGCCUCCCAUGCCUAUGUUAAUCACUACACCCUUCCCACAAUAAAUAAUCAAAUAAGCUAUUA
rnacentral:lncRNA from 10 species